rnacentral:rRNA from 1 species
AAACUUAAAUGAAUUGACGGGACCCGCACAAGCGGUGGAUGAUGUGGUUUAAUUCGAUGCAACGCGAAAAACCUUACCCACCUUUGACAUGGCAGGAAUCCCGAAGAGAUUUGGGAGUGCUCGAAAGAGAACCUGCACACAGGUGCUGCAUGGCUGUCGUCAGCUCGUGUCGUGAGAUGUUGGGUUAAGUCCCGCAACGAGCGCAACCCUUGCCAUUAGUUGCUACGAAAGGGCACUCUAAUGGGACUGCCGGUGACAAACCGGAGGAAGGUGGGGAUGACGUCAAGUCCUCAUGGCCCUUAUAGGUGGGGCUACACACGUCAUACAAUGGCCGGUACAGAGGGUAGCCAACCCGCGAGGGGGAGCCAAUCCCAUAAAGCCAUUCGUAGUCCGGAUCGCAGUCUGCAACUCGACUGCGUGAAGUCGGAAUCGCUAGUAAUCGUGGAUCAGAAUGUCACGGUGAAUACGUUCCCGGGUCUU